rnacentral:lncRNA from 1 species
GAAGAUAUUCAUCUUUCUGUAAUACAUAUCUCAACUUCCCAUUCGAUCAUCACAAUCCUAUAUUUAACCUUUUGUUUUUCUUCAAGAAAAUUAAUAAGAAACUCUCAAAUGGCAAAUUUGAUAUCAAGAUCAAGAAAAUUUAACCAUUUUUUCUAAGUAAAAAAGUUUGUUUCUUAACACAUCUAAAUCAAAGAAAUUUAAAAACUUCAUCACAUACAAGUACUGCCGCCGGUGGUAUUGUUAAGCCGGCAAAAACUGAGUUGAUUUUAGUGAAAAUAGAUCUAAGUAUCGGAACGAUCCUAUAAUCAUGAAGAAGUUACGGGAUGUUGCUAGCGCUAAAGGGAAGAAGCUUGUUGUUGCUAUUUCAAAGGAAAAAAAAAAGAAAGUUGUGAAAAUAGAUUCAUCACCAAAGGUAUGUUAUUUAUGUAUUUGAUCGAUGAAUUUCUCUAAAACAAGUUAUUGUUAUUUUAGCGACGCGAUUUUUUGUGAUUUUAAGCGAUGCGUUAUGAAUUUUUGUUAUUUUAGUGACGCGUUCUGAUACAUCUUAAGAUUUACAUGUGAUUUUUAUUCUUUACACACCUGAUACAUUCAAUAUACUAUGUUUGAUACAUAGAUCUAAGGUCAAUUAGCCUUUACAUGAUUUCUGAUACAUAAGAUAACAGAUGUGUGAUAUUGGUUAAUAUUUAUACCUAAUACAUUUAAAAUAUAGAUUAUGAUAUAUAAAUAUAAGCUCAAUUAGUCUUUUCAUGCUUUUUGAGAUAUAAGAUAUCUUAUUUGUGAUUUUGACUAUCAUUUAAUUCUGAUACAUUUAAUAUAUUGAUUAUGAUACAUAAAUCUAAGGUCAAUUAGUCAUUGAAUGCUUUCUGUUAUACCGUGAUACUUUCCCUUUGGCAAAAGAGUAUUUUCUUGUAUUAAAGAGAGAUGACAUAAAAAAUUUUGAUGAACCAUUGUAUGCAAAUUUUCUCCGAGUCACUGGAGUAGAUAGACCUUACAAUGAAAAAACUUUGAUUCGAAAUGGUAUGAAAGAUGAGUACCGGUAUUAUUCAGUGUUGAGUUGUAUUUUUGAUACCUAGUAUAGCAACCUUGAUACUUUUCAAUAUGGUUACAUAAUGUAUGGAAAUGUAGUCUUUGUAUGUUGGCCUUGAGUAACUUUUAUAUGAAAUAAGCAAGAGAUUGAUGGAAAUAAGGUGGUGAAGUAGGUCAUCUUUGGUGCAGGUGUAAAGAAGUACCGCUUCUAUAAGGUAAUCAAGCAGCAUUAUUGCUGUAGUUAAGAGUAAAGUUAUUGAUCGUGCUAGAAGUUAUGAUUUGUUCUUUACCUCUCGUUGGAUUUUAUCUUUUUUACUCUUCUGAGAGAGAUUCAUUCAUAUUCAAAGUCCAUAGUAGUCAUUGAGCUAGAAAGGGAAAGAAUACUAAUUUAUGCAUCUAUACCGUAAAAGAAGACACAAGAUAACUUUUAGUUAUUUUCAAUCGCUUUCUGAUUUUUAUGUUGCAUACAUGAAAUUUUUUUCUAUGUUUCCAUUAUAUUUUUUCUUGUAAAUAUAUGUUGAAGCAUGUAACUCAUUCAUAUUGUAAUAUAUUUGUAGAAUAGACAUCUUCCAUAUUAAUUCCUGCAUCAAUAUAAUUUUUUUCACAGUUACAUGAUAUAUUACAGUACUCGUAUGAUACAUUCUGAUACAUAACUGUACAGGAAUUGGUACAUCACUAGAUGUUAUGUAGAAUAUUGACAUAUUAUUUCUCUUAUAUUCAUUUAAGUUAAGUUAUUUUGUUUUUCAAUCUUAAUUAUAGUAUGUGUAUACCAAUAUAAGUCCUACGGUUGAUGAGCUGAAAUGUCUUCAAUUGCCAAAUCAUGCUGGAAUGGAUUUGAAAGAUGCUGUUAAUUCAACUUUACCGUUCACAUCUCGUGGACAGCAGAAAAAAGUUGAUCAUUCUGCAAUAUUGAUAGCUUAUUUUGAUAAUUUAAGCUGACACAUUAAUAUAUAGUUAUUGUCCAUGUGCAUGUGUUCUGAUACAACAUAAAUACCCAUGUGAUUUAGCUUCUAACUAAAUGAUUACUCAUGUUUAGGGAUUGUGAUAUUUUCGUGGCAGCUUAUGUUGAAUAUCUUAGUGAUCGAAUGCUGAACUCCUCAUCAAAUGUUGAUGCAGAAUAUCAUCGGAAGAGAUAUGCAACACUCUUAUGGAACUAUAGAGUUAAAAAUGCUACAAAAAUUUAUUCUAGUCACCAUGACGAUCCACCAAGACCACGUCUAUUUUAUGUUCCUUCGGCUGAUGAUUCUACUAUUGUUUCCAUAGAGUAGAUACUAGGUUGUUCCAUAUCUAUGUUCUGAACAGUUUUUUUUCUAUAUCUAUGUUCUGAAUAGUUUUUUUUUCUAUCUUAUUGGCCUCUAUUAUUGUAAUUUCAGACAUUAAGUUUAAUAGUGAUGUUUUUGUUUCAGAAAACUAUCAUCAAUUUUUUG